CCUACGGGAGGCAGCAGUGAGGAAUAUUGGUCAAUGGGCGCGAGCCUGAACCAGCCAAGUCGCGUGAGGGAUGACUGCCCUACGGGUUGUAAACCUCUUUUAUAAAGGAAUAAAGUGAGGCACGUGUGCCUUUUUGUAUGUACUUUAUGCAUAAGGCUCGGCUAAAUCCGUGCCAGCAGCCGCGGUAAUACGGAGGAUCCGAGCGUUAUCCGGAUUUAUUGGGUUUAAAGGGAGCGGAGAUGGGUUGGUAAGUCAGUUGUGAAAGUUUGGGGCUCAACCGUAAAAUUGCAAUUGAUACUGGCAGUCUUGAGUACAGUAGAGGUAGGCGGAAUGCGUGGUGUAGCGGUGAAAUGCAUAGAUAUCACGAAGAACUCCGAUUGCGAAGGCAGCUUACUAGACUGCGACUGACACUGAUGCUCGAAAGUGUGGGUAUCGAACAGGAUUAGAUACCCCAGUAGUC
rnacentral:rRNA from 1 species